rnacentral:rRNA from 1 species
GAUGAACGCUGGCGGCGUGCCUAAUACAUGCAAGUCGAGCGAACGGACGCGAAGCUUGCUUCUUUGAUGUUAGCGGCGGACGGGUGAGAAACACGUGUAUAAUCUACCUAUAAGUCUGGGAUAACUUCGGGAAACCGGAGCUAACACCGGAUAAUAUUCUGAACCGCAUGGUUCAAAAGUGAAAUACGGUCUUGCUGUCUCUAAUAGAUGGUUCCGCGCUGCAUUAGCUAGUUGGUAAGGUAACGGCUUUCCAAGGCAACGAUGCAUAGCCGACCUGAGAGAGUGAUCGGCGGCACUGGAAGUGGAACGCGGUCCAGACUCCUACGAGAGGGAUCAGUAGGGUAUCGUCCGCAAUGGGCGAGAGCCUGACAGAGCAACGCCGCGUUUGUGAUAAAGGUCUACGGAGCGUAAAAAUCUGUUAUUGGGGAAGAACAUAUGUCUAAGUAACUGUGCAGAUCUUGACGGUACCUGAUCAAAAAGCCACGGCUAACUACGUG